AACGAACGCUGGCGGCAUGCCUAACACAUGCAAGUCGAACGAGAACUUCGGGUUUUGUGGCGCACGGGUGCGUAACGCGGGGGAAGCUGCCCUUAGGUUCGGAAUAACUCCCCGAAAGGGGUGCUAAUACCGGAUAAUGUCUUCGGACAAAGGAUUUAUCGCCUCUGGAUGGGCCCUCGUUGGAUUAGCUGGUUGGGAGGGUAAAAGCCGACCAAGGCGAUGUUCCUUAGCUGGUCUGAUAGUAUGCUCCGCCACACUGGGCAUGCGGCACGGCCCCGAAUCGUACGCAAGGCAGCAGUGGGGAAUAUUGUACAAUGGGCGCAGGCGUGAUCCCGCAACGCCGCGUGAGUGAUGCAGGCCUUAGGGUUGUAAAGCUCUUUUAGCCGAGAUGAUAGUGACGGUACCGGGUGAAUAAGCUCCGGCUAACUACGUG
rnacentral:rRNA from 1 species